rnacentral:rRNA from 1 species
GAUGAACGCUGGCGGCGUGCCUAAUACAUGCAAGUCGAGCGAACGGACGAGAAGCUUGCUUCUCUGAUGUUAGCGGCGGACGGGUGAGUAACACGUGGAUAACCUACCUAUAAGACUGGGAUAACUUCGGGAAACCGGAGCUAAUACCGGAUAAUAUUUUGAACCGCAUGGUUCAAAAGUGAAAGACGGUCUUGCUGUCCCUUAUAGAUGGAUCCGCGCUGCAUUAGCUAGUUGGUAAGGUAACGGCUUACCAAGGCAACGAUGCAUAGCCGACCUGGGAGGGUGAUCGGCCGCACUGGAACUGAGACACGGUCCAGACUCCUACGGGAGGCAGCAGUAGGGAAUCUUCCGCAAUGGGCGAAAGCCUGACGGAGCAACGCCGCGUGAGUGAUGAAGGUCUUCGGAUCGUAAAACUCUGUUAUUAGGGAAGAACAUAUGUGUAAGUAACUGUGCACAUCUUGACGGUACCUAAUCAGAAAGCCACGGCUAACUACGUG